rnacentral:tRNA from 2 species
GCCCGCCUAGCUCAAUCGGUAGAGCGUCAGACUCUUAGGCGGGUUACUGAUUCCCUCGGGAUCAUCUGAAGGCUGCGAGUUCGACCCUCGCGGUGGGCU